UACGUAGGCAGCAAGCGUUGUUCGGAGUUACUGGGCGUAAAGGGUGUGUAGGCGGUUCUUUAAGUUUGGUGUGAAAUCUCCCGGCUCAACUGGGAGGGUGCGCCGAAUACUGAGGGACUAGAGUACGGGAGAGGAAAGUGGAAUUCCUGGUGUAGCGGUGAAAUGCGUAGAUAUCUGGAGGAAUACCGGUGGCGAAGGCGGCAUCCUGGACCGGGAUUGACGCUGAACGGCGAAAGCUAGGGGAGCAAACGGG
rnacentral:rRNA from 1 species